rnacentral:rRNA from 1 species
UAGGGAAUCUUCCGCAAUGGACGAAAGUCUGACGGAGCAACGCCGCGUGAGUGAUGAAGGCCUUCGGGUCGUAAAGCUCUGUUGUUAGGGAAGAAUAAGUAUCGUUCGAAUAGGGCGGUACCUUGACGGUACCUAACCAGAAAGCCACGGCUAACUACGUGCCAGCAGCCGCGGUAAUACGUAGGUGGCAAGCGUUAUCCGGAAUUAUUGGGCGUAAAGCGCGCGCAGGCGGUUUCUUAAGUCUGAUGUGAAAGCCCACGGCUCAACCGUGGAGGGUCAUUGGAAACUGGGGAACUUGAAUGCAGAAGAGGAAAGCGGAAUUCCACGUGUAGCGGUGAAAUGCGUAGAGAUGUGGAGGAACACCAGUGGCGAAGGCGGCUUUCUGGUCUGUAAUUGACGCUGAGGCGCGAAAGCGUGGGGAGCAAACA